rnacentral:rRNA from 1 species
GACGAACGCUGGCGGCGUGCUUAACACAUGCAAGUCGAACGGACAGGCCCUGCUUUUGUGGGUUGCUCGAUUGGCGAACGGGUGUGUAACACGUGAGUAACCUGCCCUUGUCUUUGUGAGAACUUCAGGAAACUGGGGCUAAUACCGCAGAUGAGCUCCUGCUGCAUGGUGGGGGUUGGAAAGUUUCGGCUGUUGGGGAUGGUCUCGCUGCUUAUCAGCUUGUUUGUCGGGUAGUGGCUUUCCAAGGCUUUGACGGGUAGCCGGCAUGAGAGGGUGACCGGCGACCAUGGGCCUGAGAGACGGCGCAGACGCCAACGGGAGGCAGCAGUGGAGAAUCUUGCACAAUGGGCGGAAGCCUGAGGCAGCAACGCCGCGUGCGGGAUGACGGCCUUCGGGGUGUAAACCGCUUUCGCCUGUGACGAAGCGGGAGUGACGGUAAUGGGUAAAGAAGCACCGGCUAACUACGUG